rnacentral:lncRNA from 1 species
CAUCCAGUAAAAGAGUAAAUAAAAAAAUGACUAGUGAUUCAAAGAAAAUACAAUAAAAGAAUACAAGGCUCUGAGCUGAUUAUUAGCAAGCUUGCUUUUGAGCUAUGCAGCUUGUAGCAAUGAAAUCACUCUGGUGCUUGUGAAGGCGGAUUAAGUAACAGAUAACACAUAGCCCCACAAACUAUUUCUUGACUAGUUCACCGGGAAUGCCUUGCUGCAGUUUUUCAAUAAACUUAUAUAAGAAGGAAGUCUUCUUAACGUUUUAUAACAAAAUAUAGAUAAUAAUGCAAAAUCGAUGCUAAUCCACCGGCUGAACAUCCAGAUAGAAUGGCCUACGUAAGAACAGUCAAGUUAACGAUAGCAAGUAAGAUUACAGUCUAAGUUGGAUGAAAAAACGUAAGAGAAAAUCAUACAUUUUCAACAUUCUUCAUUCCUUUUUCUAACAAAUCCUCGAUGAUAGCAACAAAAACUCUUGCUCCUCUGAAGUAAAGUUUAGAAGCCUGAUGGAAUAUUUACCCAAAAAUUAG